rnacentral:rRNA from 1 species
ACGAACGCUGGCGGCGUGCCUAAUACAUGCAAGUAGAACGCACAGUUUAUACCGUAGCUUGCUACACCAUAGACUGUGAGUUGCGAACGGGUGAGUAACGCGUAGGUAACCUGCCUGGUAGCGGGGGAUAACUAUUGGAAACGAUAGCUAAUACCGCAUAAUAUUAAUUAUUGCAUGAUAAUUAAUUGAAAGGUGCAAUUGCACCACUACCAGAUGGACCUGCGUUGUAUUAGCUAGUAGGUGAGGUAACGGCUCACCUAGGCGACGAUACAUAGCCGACCUGAGAGGGUGAUCGGCCACACUGGGACUGAGACACGGCCCAGACUCCUACGGGAGGCAGCAGUAGGGAAUCUUCGGCAAUGGACGAAAGUCUGACCGAGCAACGCCGCGGGAGUGAAGAAGGUUGUCGGAUCGUAAAGCUCUGUUGUAAGAGAAGAACGGGUGUGAGAGUGGAAAGUUCACACUGUGACGGUAGCUUACCAGAAAGGGACGGCUAACUACGUG